rnacentral:sRNA from 1 species
AUCUUUCAGACACUAGUUCCAAUGGGCCGGGUGUUCUGGAAGGGGGUGGCAGUGGGGAGGAGGAUGCUGUGAGCAGAGUUCUUGAAGCUCCACUCCUCUGGGGAAGCCGAGCUGUGUGGGAGCCUUCUUACUGUGCCGGGAGCGUGUGAAUUGGAAAGGAUCCUGAGAACUGGCUAGUCCCAGUUCCUCUCCGGAAAAGCAGUGGCUCUCGCUUCAGAGAUGCGCCCAGCUUUCGCCUGCAUCACACUGCAUUCUUUAACACAUUAUUGAAAUUACAAGCAUCCAAAGCAGUUUCAUGUGGACAGAUUGCAUAUUUUGAAAGCCUGAGGUAUUUUAUCAUGAAACAUGCCAUGUGGAAUCUUUGAAGCAUAGACCUCUGCGCAACACCUGAAUAAAGAAUCUUUUACCUGGUAUGUGACAGAGCUUCUCACCACCACCAUGACAAACCAGGAAAAAUGGGCCCACCUCAGCCCUUCGGAAUUCUCCCAACUUCAGAAAUAUGCUGAGUAUUCUACAAAGAAAUUAAAGGAUGUUCUUGAAGAAUUCCAUGGUAAUGGUGUGCUUGCAAAGUAUAAUCCUGAAGGGAAACAAGACAUUCUUAACCAAACAAUAGAUUUUGAAGGUUUCAAACUAUUCAUGAAGACAUUCCUGGAAGCCGAGCUUCCUGAUGAUUUCACUGCACACCUUUUCAUGUCAUUUAGCAACAAGUUUCCUCAUUCUAGUCCAAUGGUAAAAAUUAAGCCUGCUCUCCUAUCAGGCGGUCUGAGAAUGAAUAAAGGUGCCAUCACCCCUCCCCGGACUACUUCUCCUGCAAAUACGUGUUCCCCAGAAGUAAUCCACCUGAAGGACAUUGUCUGUUACCUGUCUCUGCUUGAAAGAGGAAGACCUGAGGAUAAGCUUGAGUUUAUGUUUCGCCUUUAUGACACGGAUGGGAAUGGCUUCCUGGACAGCUCGGAGCUAGAAAAUAUCAUCAGUCAGAUGAUGCAUGUUGCAGAAUACCUUGAGUGGGAUGUCACUGAGCUUAAUCCAAUCCUCCAUGAAAUGAUGGAAGAAAUUGACUAUGAUCAUGAUGGAACCGUGUCUCUGGAGGAAUGGAUUCAAGGAGGAAUGACAACGAUUCCACUUCUUGUGCUCCUGGGCUUAGAAAAUAACGUGAAGGAUGAUGGACAGCACGUGUGGCGACUGAAGCACUUUAACAAACCUGCCUAUUGCAACCUUUGCCUGAACAUGCUGAUUGGCGUGGGGAAGCAGGGCCUCUGCUGUUCCUUCUGCAAGUACACAGUCCAUGAGCGCUGUGUGGCUCGAGCACCUCCCUCUUGCAUCAAGACCUAUGUGAAGUCCAAAAGGAACACUGAUGUCAUGCACCAUUACUGGGUUGAAGGUAACUGCCCAACCAAGUGUGAUAAGUGCCACAAAACUGUUAAAUGUUACCAGGGCCUGACAGGACUGCAUUGUGUUUGGUGUCAGAUCACACUGCAUAAUAAAUGUGCUUCUCAUCUAAAACCUGAAUGUGACUGUGGACCUUUGAAGGACCAUAUUUUACCACCCACAACAAUCUGUCCAGUGGUACUGACUCUGCCCACUUCAGGAGUUUCAGUUCCUGAGGAAAGACAAUCAACAGUGAAAAAGGAAAAGAGUGGUUCCCAGCAGCCAAACAAAGUGAUUGACAAGAAUAAAAUGCAAAGAGCCAACUCUGUUACUGUAGAUGGACAAGGCCUGCAGGUAUGAUUUUUUAAAUCAAAAUUUUAGUAGGUUUCAUAUUUGAUACUUCUAGGCUCUAAAGGGGCAUAUGUUCAGCUAUCAACACAUUUGUUUAAUCUGCAUAUUAGCUUAGUAGACUCUUUCAGAAAGAUCUUUAUUAAUUUAUCAAGAUGUCAGUCUUACGGUUGAUUGACAGAGUAACAUUCUGGUUAAAUUAAUCAUUUAUGAUUUUAUCUCCAUUUAAACUCAAAUUGGCAA